GGCGGCUGGCUGCCCUGCACGACUUAAAAAUUUACAUGCUGCCGUACGUACGUUCCUGCGAGGAGCCAUGGACUGGACAGGAUCAGAGGAGAGGAAGUCCGCGGCAUGCGUGAUGGCGACCCGUACGUCUCUGGCCUUCGCCCUCCUCCAGGUGAGUCGUCCGUCCGAGGAGGUGUAGUGGCGGACGGCGCGUGCGCACAUCCGUUCCUAGUGCUCUGCAUGCUCGGGGUCGGCCGGUCGGGGCUCCCGCCUCCGCCGCUCCGUCCUCCCCUCCGAUCCUUCGCCGAAAACAGAUCCUUAUUUGGAUCGCAGC
rnacentral:lncRNA from 7 species